ensembl:lncRNA
UGCUGGAGCCUUUGAGGCCCUAGUCUAUAUGUGUUCAUGCUGGAGGAACUGAAGCUGAAGCGGGGGAAGGAAGUAAUUUUUAACUCCUCCCUAAAUGCCAGUCACUGCCAGGGAGAAGUCAAUCUGGUAUAUGGCAUCUAAGAGAAAAUACAUGGAUACCUGUUACGAAACAGAGAUGCUGUCUGUAAGCACUGCUUGUGUCACACUGCUGUAUGGUCCUCAAAGGAGCCCUCAAGCUCCCUUUCCAUAUCCAGGUUAUGUAGAUACUGGUGAUGCUAGGAACUUGAAACUAAGUUCAUUUGCUGGCUUUUACAGUAGGUGAUUAUUGUUUUUUGUUUGUCGUUGCUCCCCUAUCCAAAGUAUUUCAGUGAGUUGUAUCUUCUGCCAAGGCAGAGUUUCUAGUUGAGGCUUGGCUGAAAAAAUGAAGGCAAACAAGAGCUUUGCUAGAUUCCAGUCUGGAAAGGAAGAAGAUCCUGGGGGAUUUUUGUGUUGUAGCUCCUAAAGGCCUCUGAAUGCUUCUGGGGCUGUAUCUUUUAACCUGGACUAGAGAAGAGUCUUUGAAGUUCCUACAGUUUGAUUGGAAGGGGAGACAGAGGAUGAAGUCGGUGAGGCACAGAGGUGAAAAGCUCCAUUCAGUGUUACAUAUCUGCUCAUGAUGGUGGUGGGUUUUUCCCUUCUGUGUCGGGUGAAGAGACAGGCUGGUUGCGGAGUUGUGCUGGGUGACUGGUUGCUGAACUCAUCUGAAAAAAAAACAGUCUGUUUCACAAACAACAGGAGAAAACAAAGAAUAGUUGAAGAGUGCUGGUGUACGUGUGUAUUCCGUUGUCCUGCAGGACACAGAGGUGCUCAGGCUUGUGACUGUCCUGGAGACUGUUCCAAUAAUGGAAAUGGAUUUCUGAGCUAACGUGGAUGAGAUUCCUGUCAUGAAUGCUGUCCUGUGGAAGGGCUCUACCCAGCAACUAACAAGGUUAAAUUUCAGUGGAUGCAGCAUGUUCCUUCACUUCCUCCCCUGAAUGGGUGUUGACAUGCUAUGAAACAGCUGCCUUGCUCUGCUCUGGAGGUAGAUGCUCUUUCAAAGGCUGAAGUAACUCCUGCCAACAUCCAGCUUGUCUUAUUAACCUGUUGGGAUUGCUCCAGACCAAAGUUACAGAGGAAUGCUGUGUUAUGUGGCAAACGACCCGGGAAAGUUCACAGGGGAAUAUUGAAGCAAUUCUGUGCCUUCCUUGGUUGAAGCUCCAGUGUAUAGCUGAAAAUCUGAUUACCGAAUUACUGAAGCCUUAAGAAAUUAGGCUGUCUUCAGGAUUGUUUCUUAGAAGAAGGAUGGCAGCAGGGCCAGCGUGAGAGUAACUGUGGGGAAGUGAUCGGUAUGCGAUGGUGUUACUUUCCCAGCUGUUCAAUGGGCUUUUCUGUGGGGUGUAGCUUCUUCAGCACGGGAACAAUCUUUCAUUCUCAUUUCUGCAGUCCCCUAAGUAUGUGUGAUCUGGAAUUGCGCAGUAAUGUAAUACCUGAAAUCUUGUGAUGGACUUCCAUAGGAAGUCCUAUGUUUGGACGUGCGGUUGUAUCUUUCUAGGAUAACCUGUUGUUCAUCAUCCUUUCUGGAAGCUGGCUUUGGAAAGGUAUAUUGACAGAGAGAAUUUACGGUAUUAUUUUAAGACACUUAAUAAACCAUAGUGUUCCUUUAUUACAAUGUAAAGCAGUGCCGGUUUUGAGUUUUAUAAGGCAUUUAAGCGCAGUUGUGGCCUUCAUGAACGUAAUACCAACGACUGUAUGAGAAGAAGGGCACUGCGUUGAAGUUGAAGAUGAGUUGAGGUUGGACAUUACGCACUGAUUUCCCAAGAGGACUCUCCUUCAGUGCCUGGAGAAGUAAUUUCAAUAUUCAUCUCUUCUCAUUGUAGGCUAAUUACUAAAUAUUGUAGUAGCUUAAUUUAGUUUGUAAUUUAUUCACUUGUUUGUGAUUAUGUUCCCAGAAUGGGGGAUAAACUUGAAUUGGAGUAUUUGAAUAUUUGAGGAUUGGGAUUAAAAAAAAAAAAAUCUGAAUCAAGAAAUGAGAUGAUACUACUUACCUAGCUUAAGAAGCAGGCCGGAUAGGGAAAUUGUGUGUUUGUAGCUGCUUUGAAAAAACUUUUCCACUCUGCUGUACCUGGUGCUGCUGUGAACGUUCUUACAGUGUGAAGACCAAAUGUGAAAGGUUGCUGUUAGUUGCAUGUAAAUCGUUUCUGUGCCUUAUGGACCUUGUGCAGCAACUGAAGAGCCUUGUGAAUGAAAGGUUUUCUAUAAACAUACGUGGUAAUUACAUCGUGGGAGGAUACAAAUGGUGACUUUAGCUGUGUGGGGCCCAGAUGUGGAAGUCAUUGCUCCUGGAAGCAGGAAAGGGAGGUGAGACUGAGCCAAUCAGGAGAGCAGCAAAACUGUGACUGUCUGAUACUCUAGUUGUAGGAAGCGAAAAGGUGUUGGUUGUGCCAAGGGCACAAGGUCUGUAAUUAGGUUAUUAAGUGCAGCAUCCUCCCUGUCUGUCAAGCUGCUUCCGAUGCAGUCCUGGUCUCUUGGAUCCCAGGAGUGCCUGACAAGGUCCUGUUCUGGAGCACUGAUUUCAUUUGCUUCCAGCAGCUGCUUUAUUAGGUUUAUGAACUGUUUUUCUUAACACCAUCAAACUAGGGUUUGACUUCCUGGGUGCUGGUUUUACAGUUUUAGAACUUGUGCAGCAUAAAAAAAAUGACACUUUUACUGUGGCAUCCUCAUUGCAUGUGAACUGCAGUGUCUUCCAUAGUACAGCUGCAAGGUUCCUUUUGAAAGUAAUGAUCCCCCAGCUCAUAGCUGUGAGAAAAUCAAAGCAAACAUUUAGCCCUUGCUGGGAUCCAUUACGUAGUAAGGAAUACUUUCCACUCUGCUGAAAGCGGUCUCUUACUUGGUUCUUCAAACUGGGGAGAUAAAGAGGGAAGUGAUGAUCAAACUGGUUUCCUCCUCUUCCUCCUUUUCCCAUGAGAGCUCUGUAGAACUCACCAGGUCUGGCACAGCAGAAGCAUUCUGCAGUGCUUUUCCUUUGCUCUGAGUAAUGCUCCUGUACUUCUCAGCUGGCUGCCCAAGGCAGCUGUGCUCUGCUGGGUAUUACUGGGCAUAUCUAUUUCUGUUUUGUAAUUGUUGUGUUUCUUCAGGUGUAAUGAGACUAGACAGGUUUUUCUCUUAGAGUCACUGUUUGUUCACCUAUGUUUUUUUUGCAGGAGAAACAUGUAAGGGAUUGUCACUGGGAGCUGCUGGUCAGGCUGUGAUACUCAGCUAAAAGCUGCUCAUGAGAAAUACUAACAUGCAGACUUGGCAAUGCUGCAUGCCUGCAGUUGGUAGGAAUAAGAGGUGAAGAAGUCUCUCCAGUGUUAAACUGAUUUAUCGUUCAGCAAUGUCAACAGAAAUUUGGGCAUGUAAUCCUCAGUAGCUAUAUCAGGUGGUUUAGUAAGAAAAAAAAAAAAAAAACUCUCCUUGCAAACUGCUUUCACUCCCUAGAAAGCAUCAGCAGUGCUGCUGGUACAAUGCACCCUGCUUAAAGGUAGAAAUACUGUAUGUGUUAGUAGCAUAUUGUAGAAAUAUAGUUGCUGAAUUCUGUGAUUAAUUCUUGCUUAAAACUGCAGUAGUUUUUAAACGUUCCAAAUGCUAUAGAUAUAGCAUUAUGGACUAGAAAGAAUAUUGUAGGGCUAUUUACGUAAGAGACCCGCAGCAAAAGAAAAACAGACUUAACAAACAGCAAAGAAGCCAGGGCCUCUGCACAAGGAUUGCCUCGUUGUGCGGGUAGGUUGAGCUGCAACAAGCAGGCAUCAAGGUACUCUCCUCUAUCCUCUUUCCAAGCUUUUCUCUAUGCAAGGAGAAGCAGAUGUCCAGAAACAACAACCGAGUGCUGAGUGAGCAAAUGUGGGAAGUUAACUAAUUAGCAAUAUAUGCUUAGCUAGCAGCAAUUUACGUUUACCUGGUACCAUGUGUUUAGUUGAGCAUUGGCAAGAUGAUGAACCUUUAGUACUCAACCAAUGAGGAACUGAAGGGCAAAAUCAGGUCCCCGCAGUAUAGAAAGAAGGGCUUCAUAGCAAGAAAAGAGAAAGCAGCUUCACAAGGUAGACAUAAGGAGCAAAUAGAGAUAGAUAGUUUAUGUAGAGAGUAUUAGAAAACAAGGGAUUCCAAGCACUUUCACAGGCGCUAGGUCCAGAAUAACAAGGAGAAUGAAGGCCAUAAAGAUAAGGACUGGAGAACAGCUCGAAAACAUUUGGCAGGGAGGUGAUUAGAUGUCUGAAGUGCAAGCUGAAACUGGUUCGGGGGAUGCCCCCCCCUUCGGGGUCAGAAGUUUGCAGCGAGGAAGACUAUGAGCCUUCGCGAGGAAGACUAUGAGCCUUCAUCAUCACGACCUACUACGCAUGCGCAAAAGGGGGAGGGACUGCAUGCUAAUGGGCUCUCGGGAAUGUAAUGAAUAUGUAUCCGAAUUCGCGUCAACUAUUGAUCAGGUAUUAGUUUGACCUAUAUCUAUAGCACGAUUUCUUCGGACGGUGUGCAAGUUAGGUGGAGCGAUCCCCCUUGCACCAGGGUGUAUGCGCGUCACCAAUAAACACAUACCUGC